AUUUCAGGCCUAGGUAAGGGAGUGGGAGGCCUGUGGACCAAGUGGAAGAGGAGUGUAGGGGGGCAUUCACUCCCGCUGUGCCUGAGUUCCACCGCAGGCCCAGGGCCAGAGCCCGGGAGGUGGGAGGGCAGGGGUCCUCCGAGGAGCUGCCGGCCCACGAUCGCCCCGGGGGCAGGCGGGAGGGAGGGAGGGAGGAGAGGCGGGGCCAGGGCUGGAGGGCGGCGCUUGCGGGGACCGGGCUGCUCCGGGCCCUGGGGACCCCUGCGCUUCGCUCACUCCUCCCCCGCCGGGGCUCCGCGGGCCAGCGCUGCGGCCGCCAGGGUGCGCCCCCCCGCCCCGCCCCGCCCCGCCGCCGUCCCCGGCCCGCUCCGCCCGAGCCCCCCCUCGCCGCGCUGCGCGCUCCGCCCGAGCCGCCGCCGCCGCCGCCGCGUGCUCCCGCUGUCUCCUCGCUCCAGCCGAGCGAGCCGGAGGAGCCGGGGAGAGGGAGAGAGCGAAAGGGGGAGGAGAGAGGGAGAAGGAGGGCGGGAGGGAGGGGAGCAGAGGGAGAGGAGGCGGCGGCGAGCAGGAGCGAGCGCGGAGCGCCGAGCCGCGGGGCAGCUCCGGAGCCGGGAGCCUCCUCGGACAGCCGCCCGCCCCGGCCCGGCCCGGCCCCGCUCCAGCGCCCGCCCGCUCGGAGGACACGCGGCCGCCGCCGCCGAGCCCGGCCCGCGCCCCUCGCCGCCCGCUCCGCUGCCCGCUCGGGGCCGGGAUGCAGCCGGGGCAUGGCCGCCGGGCCCCCGUCACCUGCCGCGGGGAGCGCUGAGCCCGUUGAGAAUCUCAGGUCCCUGAGAACCUGAAGCUUUUCCUGCUGAUUCUCACUAUUUCUCAGCAAAUUUCUACCCGAGAAAGUUCCAGAAAGAACCCCGUGGGAGGCCUCCCUGCUGCAGUGAAGCAGGCCUCACCCACCACUACCAGGUGAGGUCGCCGCCGGCCAGGACAGUCCUUAGCAUCUGCAUUUGCAACGGAAAAAUGUUUUAUUGCCACGAGAGAAUGGCAGGGUGGGGAUGUCCUGCUUGCUGUGGUGUGAGGACCGCCGUCCGUGUCUUUUGUGGGCUCAGGGGCAGGAUGGGGAGCGUCGGCAGGCCCCCGGUGGGGGGGAUGCUGGCCUGAAUCUGUAAGGAGGGCCUGCUCUCCGUGAAAUCCCUCAGCCUGGCUGCAGAGUUUUCCCCUGGGAAGGCAGGGGGACAGGGUGUCACGUCUGCUGUGUGGUGUCAGCACAGAAUGCUGCAGAGGCCAGGUCUGACCUUCCCCUGCCCAGAUCUCCCUGCAGCCCAGCAAGCGGCUCUAAUGCCUCCAGCAGGCCGUGUGCGUGCUUGCUCCAUUCCACUUCACCUGUGGCAGGAAGCCCCCGGGGUCAGCGGGUUAGCAGCAGACCCCUAUAGGCUCGGGGCCCUUUGCCCUUAGGGCCGCCCCACUUCAGACGCCAGCCACAAGCCUUGGGAGCCACUUGCACUUCUGACCUACCAGCUACAAAUCCCCAUGACCUUCAGUUUUGAUAAUUUGCUAGAAUGACUCUCUGAAUUUAAGAGCCAUAUCGACGGCUACAUUUUUAUGAUGCAGGACACACGGGGACAAGGUCUGCCCUCACCCUGUAGGGAUAGGACAGGUCACUCUCCCAGCACAUCCACGCGUUCACCCGUCACAAAGCUCCCUGAGCUUCGGACGUCCGGAGUUUUACUGGAGUCCUGUUAUGUCAUCAGCCACAAGGCUGGACCGUGGCUCCUGCCCCGCUCUCCUCCCACUGCCCGGGAAGGCAAAGCACCAGUUCUCCCAUAGGUGCCUGUCUACGGACCCGCCCUGAGCCACCCAGUCAGCAGGAAGCCAGACCUGGGAAUAACAGACCACACUCCCAUCCCUCAGGAAUUCCAGAGGUGUUAGAGGUUACCUCCCUGGAACCAGGGACAAAACCCAGACACGUUCUGGACCCCAUCACCAGGAAGCUCGGUGCAGCCCCGCUCCCUGCAGAGAAGCUGCACAAAACCGGAGGGUCGGGCUCACCCGAGGCGGGGCAAGAAGGACUUGAACCCCUCGCACCGCAGUCCACCAUGUGCUCAUCCUGCCCUGGGCGGAGCAAAUGAUGCCAAUAAGAGUUCUGGGCAAGGAGACAAGGACACAGGCCGGUCCCUCCAGUAUCCCUCAAAAGGUGCCCGCUUUCAUGUGCACAGAGUGAGGUUCUCUGCCAGGCCUGGGGCAUCUCCGGGGAUGCACUGCUUACUUCCUUUUCCUGACGGAAGUGGGCUCCCUGCCUCGGGGUGUUUGGGGCCUGCUUCUUGUGGUGGGUAGAUGUGCACUGACUGAGCCGCAUGCUGGCAUUCAGCCGUCCUCGAGGGCCCCCAAUGCACUGAGCCUGUGGUGCAGGCGGGAGACCCAGCGGACACAAGCCAAGCCCUUGCCGUUCACGUGCUAGUGGGACGAACGCACCUGUAGAGUAGUGUCGGGUAGUGCUGAGGCUCUGUGGAAAGGUGGUCAAGGGCAAUAGAGGGUGGCGGAGGCUGCUGUUCCCCUGGGACAGUCCUGGGCAGGACCUGGAGGCUACUGCUCGGGGCACAGGCUGAGGGGAGCAAGGGUGGCAACCAGCUGAGCCCUGUGGAGAGUGGUUCAGGCAGAGGGUCUGGCUAGUGCAAAGGCCCUGAGGCAUGCUGGAGAAGUAGCAAAGAAGACUGGCCUGCCAGGGCCAAGUUGGGGAGCAGGGUAGAAAGUGUAGCACCUAAAUUCAGAAGUUUUUAGGCCAAGAAUAAGGAUUUGGGGUUUUUGUCUUAAAGAUGGUAGGAGCUACAGAAGGGAUUGGAUCACCAGAUUUGAGUUAGAUGUGGAUGACGUUGCCUUCUGUGUGGGGAAUAGAUGGGGAGGGAAGUCAGAGCAUAAGCAGGGUACCUCAGGGAGGCUGGGGCUUGUCCCCGGGAGUGGUGGGUGUGCCACGGCCCCAGAAUGAGAAACGUGGGUCUGUGGACAUGUUUGAGGUGAGAAUUUCAAACAACUGCCCUGCUAUGCUGAAAUGACUGCUAUUCCACUGCUGAACCUUGGGGUUCCCUUAGAGAGCCUGCAGAGGAAGGUCAGACACCGGGACAGGGACAGGGGAGCCAGGCCCUGUGAUGGCUCAGAAGGUCUCCAUCCCUCGGGACCUUCUAAAUCCUUCAGUGCUGCGGGUCCCCUUAGAGGGCACGUAUGGCUUGUGACUGACCUCCGUGUGGGCCAGGCCACCCUGCGGUCAUUCCCUGUCCCCAAAAUCUCAGGACCCUGGUUCUAAAGCAAGCAUAUGUGGUGCUGUCCCUGGAGGCAGCAGAGCGCCGACAUCCUGCGGGCAGGUGACUCUUGGAAGAGGCUUUUCCUCUGAAGGAGGUUGCAGGGCCUCAGGUGAAAAGGUCAGUUUUGGGGGUUGUUGGAGCCAGAAGCACCAGACUGGCUGGUGGGUGAUGGCAGUCCUGGGAAUUCGGCGCUCAGUGGGGCCUGUGCAAGUUGCUUUCCACCUGCAGCUGCUUCUCUCCUUCCAGCCCCUUGUUGGUUGAACAAAGUCUCCCUCCGAAAUUGUGCAGUGGGCAGAGGGUGU
rnacentral:lncRNA from 1 species